rnacentral:rRNA from 1 species
ACGAACGCUGGCGGCGUGCUUAACACAUGCAAGUCGAGCGGAAAGGCCCUUCGGGGUACUCGAGCGGCGAACGGGUGAGUAACACGUGAGUAACCUGCCCCAGACUUUGGGAUAACCCUCGGAAACGGGGGCUAAUACCGGAUACGACACAGCUUCGCAUGGGGUCUGUGUGGAAAGUUUUUCGGUUUGGGAUGGGCUCGCGGCCUAUCAGCUUGUUGGUGGGGUGAUGGCCUACCAAGGCGACGACGGGUAGCCGGCCUGAGAGGGCGACCGGCCACACUGGGACUGAGACACGGCCCAGACUCCUACGGGAGGCAGCAGUGGGGAAUAUUGCACAAUGGGCGGAAGCGUGAUGCAGCGACGCCGCGUGAGGGAUGACGGCCUUCGGGUUGUAAACCUCUUUCAGCAGGGACGAAGCGUAAGUGACGGUACCUGCAGAAGAAGCGCCGGCCAACUACGUG